GCUGGACGUGGUGGCUCACGCCUGUAAUCCCAGUGGCUUGGGAGGCUGAGGCAGGAGGAUCCUGAGUUCAAAGCCAGCCACAGCAAAAUCAAGGCACUAAGCAACUCAGUGAGACCCUGUUUCUA
rnacentral:sRNA from 1 species